UACGUAGGGGGCAAGCGUUGUCCGGAAUUAUUGGGCGUAAAGAGCGUGUAGGCGGUCCGAUAAGUCGGCUGUGAAAGUCCAGGGCUCAACCCUGGGAUGCCGGUCGAUACUGUCGGACUAGAGUUCGGAAGAGGCGAGUGGAAUUCCCGGUGUAGCGGUGAAAUGCGCAGAUAUCGGGAGGAACACCUAUGGCGAAGGCAGCUCGCUGGGACGUUACUGACGCUGAGACGCGAAAGCGUGGGGAGCAAACAGG
rnacentral:rRNA from 1 species